rnacentral:rRNA from 1 species
AACGAACGCUGGCGGCAUGCCUAACACAUGCAAGUCGAACGAGACCUUCGGGUCUAGUGGCGCACGGGUGCGUAACGCGUGGGAAUCUGCCCUUGGGUUCGGAAUAACAGUUAGAAAUGACUGCUAAUACCGGAUAAUGUCUUCGGACCAAAGAUUUAUCGCCCAGGGAUGAGCCCGCGUAGGAUUAGCUAGUUGGUGAGGUAAAGGCUCACCAAGGCGACGAUCCUUAGCUGGUCUGAGAGGAUGAUCAGCCACACUGGGACUGAGACACGGCCCAGACUCCUACGGGAGGCAGCAGUGGGAAUAUUGGACAAUGGGCGAAAGCCUGGAUCCAGCAAUGCCGCGUGAGUGAUGAGGCCUUAGGGUUGUAAAGCUCUUUUACCCGGGAUGAUAAUGACAGUACCGGGAGAAUAAGCCCCGGG